rnacentral:tRNA from 1 species
GGAGAGGUGGCCGAGUGGCCGAAGGCACAUCCUUGCUAAGGAUGCGUAUGGGAAACUGUACCGUGGGUUCGAAUCCCACCCUCUCCG